rnacentral:rRNA from 1 species
AUUGAACGCUGGCGGCAGGCUUAACACAUGCAAGUCGAGCGGAGAUGAGGUGCUUGCACCUUAUCUUAGCGGCGGACGGGUGAGUAAUGCUUAGGAAUCUGCCUAUUAGUGGGGGACAACAUUCCGAAAGGAAUGCUAAUACCGCAUACGUCCUACGGGAGAAAGCAGGGGAUCUUCGGACCUCGCGCUAAUCGAUGAGCCUAAGUCGGAUUAGCUAGUUGGUGGGGUAAAGGCCUACCAAGGCGACGAUCUGUAGCGGGUCUGAGAGGAUGAUCCGCCACACUGGGACUGAGACACGGCCCAGACUCCUACGGGAGGCAGCAGUGGGGAAUAUUGGACAAUGGGGGGAACCCUGAUCCAGCCAUGCCGCGUGUGUGAAGAAGGCCUUAUGGUUGUAAAGCACUUUAAGCGAGGAGGAGGCUACUGAGACUAAUACUCUUGGAUAGUGGACGUUACUCGCAGAAUAAGCACCGGCUAACUCUGUGCCAGCAGCCGCCGUAAAAC